GCAGUCGAGCGGACAGAUGGGAGCUUGCUCCCUGAUGUUAGCGGCGGACGGGUGAGUAACACGUGGGUAACCUGCCUGUAAGACUGGGAUAACUCCGGGAAACCGGGGCUAAUACCGGAUGGUUGUUUGAACCGCAUGGUUCAAACAUAAAAGGUGGCUUCGGCUACCACUUACAGAUGGACCCGCGGCGCAUUAGCUAGUUGGUGAGGUAACGGCUCACCAAGGCAACGAUGCGUAGCCGACCUGAGAGGGUGAUCGGCCACACUGGGACUGAGACACGGCCCAGACUCCUACGGGAGGCAGCAGUAGGGAAUCUUCCGCAAUGGACGAAAGUCUGACGGAGCAACGCCGCGUGAGUGAUGAAGGUUUUCGGAUCGUAAAGCUCUGUUGUUAGGGAAGAACAAGUACCGUUCGAAUAGGGCGGUACCUUGACGGUACCUAACCAGAAAGCCACGGCUAACUACGUGCCAGCAGCCGCGGUAAUACGUAGGUGGCAAGCGUUGUCCGGAAUUAUUGGGCGUAAAGGGCUCGCAGGCGGUUUCUUAAGUCUGAUGUGAAAGCCCCCGGCUCAACCGGGGAGGGUCAUUGGAAACUGGGGAACUUGAGUGCAGAAGAGGAGAGUGGAAUUCCACGUGUAGCGGUGAAAUGCGUAGAGAUGUGGAGGAACACCAGUGGCGAAGGCGACUCUCUGGUCUGUAACUGACGCUGAGGAGCGAAAGCGUGGGGAGCGAACAGGAUUAGAUACCCUGGUAGUCCACGCCGUAAACGAUGAGUGCUAAGUGUUAGGGGGUUUCCGCCCCUUAGUGCUGCAGCUAACGCAUUAAGCACUCCGCCUGGGGAGUACGGUCGCAAGACUGAAACUCAAAGGAAUUGACGGGGGCCCGCACAAGCGGUGGAGCAUGUGGUUUAAUUCGAAGCAACGCGAAGAACCUUACCAGGUCUUGACAUCCUCUGACAAUCCUAGAGAUAGGACGUCCCCUUCGGGGGCAGAAUGACAGGUGGUGCAUGGUUGUCCUCACCUCCUGUCCUGGAGAUGUUGGGUUAAGUCCCCCAACCAGCGCAACCCUUGAUCUUAGUUGCCAGCAUUCAGUUGGGCACUCUAAGGUGACUGCCGGUGACAAACCGAAGGAAGGUGGGGAUGACGUCAAAUCAUCAUGCCCCUUAUGACCUGGGCUACACACGUGCUACAAUGGACAGAACAAAGGGCAGCGAAAC
rnacentral:rRNA from 1 species